GACGAACGCUGGCGGCGUGCCUAAUACAUGCAAGUAGAACGCACAGUUUAUACCGUAGCUUGCUACACCAUAGACUGUGAGUUGCGAACGGGUGAGUAACGCGUAGGUAACCUGCCUGGUAGCGGGGGAUAACUAUUGGAAACGAUAGCUAAUACCGCAUAAUAUUGAUUAUUGCAUGAUAAUUGAUUGAAAGAUGCUAUUGCAUCACUACCAGCUGGACCUGCGUUGUAUUAGCUAGUAGGAGAGGUAACGGCUCACCUAGGCGACGAUACAUAGCCGACCUGAGAGGGUGAUCGGGCACACUGGGACUGGGACACGGCCCAGACUCCUACGGGAGGCAGCAGUAGGGAAUCUUCGGCAAUGGACGAAAGUCUGACCGAGCAACGCCGCGUGAGUGAAGAAGGGUUUCGGAUCGUAAAGCUCUGUUGUAAGAGAAGAACGGGUGUGAGAGUGGAAAGUUCACACUGUGACGGUAUCUUACCAGAAAGGGACGGCUAACUACGUG
rnacentral:rRNA from 1 species